AGUCCCAAGUAUUGAAGAAUUUUGUAAGGCAUGCAAAGGCUCAUCAAGUCUCAAAGCCUGUUUAUGGCGAGACCAGAUGCCAAGCGUGCCAGAAUAUGCUCGACCGCGCGAAGGCGAGCAGAAUCCCAAGCAUUGAAGAAUUUUCUAAGGCAUGCUAAGGCUCACUAAGUCUCAAAGCCUGUUUAUGGCGAGACCAGAAGCCAAGCGUGCCAGGAUCUGCUCCACCGCGCGAAGUUGAGCAGAAUCCCAAGUAUUGAAGAAUUUUCUAAGGCAUGCACAGGCUCAUCAAGUUUCAAAGCCUGUUUAUGGCGAGGCCAGAUGCCAAGCGUGCCAGAAUCUGCUCGACCGUGCGAAGGCGAGGAGAAUCCCAAGCAUUGAAGAAUUUUCUAAGGCAUGCAAAGGCUCAUCAAGUCUCAAAGCCUGUUUAUGGCGAGACCAAAUGCCAAGCGUGCCAGAAUCUGCACGACCGCGCGAAGGCGAGCAGAAUCCCAAGCAUUGAAGAAUUUUCUAAGGCAUGCAAACGCUCACUAAGUCUCAAAGCCUGUUUAUGGCGAGACCAGAAGCCAAGAG
rnacentral:lncRNA from 1 species